AGACUACUCUUAUGAAGAUCUUAUUGAUUUAAACUAAAAGCUGUCAAAUUUUAAAUUUUCUUAAAAUCUUCCCUGAAAAUAAUACAGACUAUUAUUUUACAGGCUUUACAGGGUUCACUUGUUGAACGUUGAUUGUUUCUCUUUAGACACUGUGGUGCCCUCUAGUGUUAAGGAGACACUAACACUUCAGCUCUAUGUACUGUACGUGGGCUACUGUAUAAUAAUCACUUCAUUCUCUGUCUUACUGGCAGCUGCUUGGGUAGAUUGUGUUUGAGGAGACACUCAGUCUGAGCUCACGGCUAAAUCAUGGAUCAGAAGCCCACUUCACCCCAGAGACAUGCGGUGAAAAGCAGGUCAAAGUCUACAGAGGAAGUCCAGCAAGCUAAAAAGGUGGAGACAACCUCUACAUCAACAAAUGAAUGUAUAAUUGAUAGUUGCAUACAUAAAAAUGCACUUCUACUUUCCUUCAGCUGAUUUUUUAUUUUAUUUUUUAAUCUGGUGAAGUUAACACUCCAAUUGGAUGCUCAAUUAAAUUUUUGCCACUAUUUUGGAAGGACAAAAUGAUUUUUGAUAUCAGUUCAAAGAGACUCAAAAGUUAUUUGAACCUUUGACAUGUUUAUUGCAGCUAUUUGAAUAAUUAAACAUCUGGUUUGAUGCAUCAGACAUUUAAAGGAAAAAAUGUUCCCUUGAGUAUUGAGGAUUAUUAACAACAGUGCUGCAAGAACGCUUGUUUAUGGACCACUAUGCAAUGCACUGCCAAGCAUUAUUUGAUUGAAUAACUAUUUGAUUAAUGUUAGGCCUUCCACAUACCCCAGAAAUCACUGCCUGGAGGGUCAGAGCUGGAAAAGGUGAAGGUGAGUGUUGACUUUGUGUGUCAUGACUGAAUGUUAUUAUAAUGAUAGCAAAAAAAAAAAAAAAAAAACUGCUUAAAGAUUUGAGAAAUAAAUGAUUCUGACUAGAAAACAAACAAACAAAUAAUUGAUUUAGUUGAAAAAUAAAUAUUUUGCAUAUGUGCAUUUGGCAUAAACUUUUUAUAUAUAAAUACAUUUGCAAAUUAAGUUAAAUGUAAUCUUUCUUUUUUUAGUUAAAAUAAUUCACUAUAAUAAUUUCUAGCAAAUUAGGGCUUUUUAUUAAAGGCUAUUUCAUUAGAUUGGAAUAUAGAUUGGAUAUUAAAUAUUUUAUAUAGAACAGAAUAAUUAAUAUAAAAAUAUAUCUAGCAUGAUAUAAAACCGUGUGUCUAUCUCUUGGUUCUGUAUGUUUCAGGAAGGACCAGAAGAAAAUGUGACUCCAGCAUCAUCCACAGAAGAGCUGAAGUGAUGCAGCCAUUCAUCUGUGUUUAUCUCACACACAAACACACACAUAAAGAUAAAUGCUUGUUUUUAUAUAUAAACAAGGUUUGAUUUAAAGUAUUAGCUCUUUCUUUUGUAAGGUGAUUUUCAGUACAGCUCAACACACGCAGAAACACGAAACACGUCGACCUGAAGCAUGUUAAGUCUGUCUGCGCUGCAUCUCUGUACACUGACAUGCUGUUUAUAUAAACUCAGUGCUUUCACUAUGAACAUCAGGGCAUGUGUGCUUUCACAUUUAAAGAAGCUCAAGCGAAAUUAGAUCAGUGGUUUGAUUAAAAUUGGAACUUUGUGGCUUUUUAGUCUAUAGCUUUGAGCUCGUCCAUAGAUAGAGUGAAAAUGCUAAUUACUUUUUUUGUGUGUGUGAAUAGUAUCUUUCUUUUAUUACCCAAUCAUAAUUUCUGCACAACCAGCAGAUGGUGUCAAUGUGUAAAUUUUGGCUGUCAUAUUAAUAGUUUUGAUGUUUGACAUUAUAAAUCUACAGAUACCCUAAGGGACUUGUUGAUGGAAAAAAUCUGAGAUGAAAGAAUUACAUUGCUUUUGUACUGAAUGCGUUUGCAUAUUGCAUUACAAAAGUGACAGAAAGCAAAGUUAGCAAGCGAACAUAAUCACGAUUUGCAAUUUUUUCCCUCACAUAUCAAAAUGAGUAAAUGCUUUUUUCUAUUUGAUAAAAACACUUACUGCGGGCUUGUUUCUACAAUGGGAUGUUUGUAGUACACUCCAGCUCUCAUGUUUUUGGGCCCAUGUGAGUCAAAUAGUGUUAAAUACUCAUCCGGCGACAUAUUUAUUGGCAUCAGCUGAAUCACAGAGCUGACAUACUGUAUGAGUCAGCUUAAGAUGUUGUGUAAGUGUUUAUAGUACAGUUUAAACCAUUUGUGCUAAUAAACUUUUGACCACUCAUCAUGCUAAAGUUCAGUGACUGAGUGAAUUUCAGAAACAGGAGUCACUCUCACAGCUGUAAACAAGAUACAUGAAGACUGUGCAGUCUGUUUAGUGCAAGCAAUUUGAGAGCAAAGUAAAAUUAAACUACCAUCAACAAAUGAUAAGAUGCGUUUUCUGAUAUUUACUUCCCUCUUAGGUCAUCUAGGAUGUAGAUGAGUUUGUUUCUUAAAGGGGGGGUGAAAUGCUAUUUCAUGCAUACUGAGUUUUUUACACUGUUAAAGAGUUGGAUUCCCAUGCUAAACAUGGACAAAGUUUCAAAAACUAAGUUGUACGUUUGAAGCAGUAUUUUUGUUCCAGAAAUACUCCUUCCGGUUUGUCACAAGUUUCGGAAAGUUUUUUUCGAGUAUGGCUCUGUGUGACGUUAGAUGGAGCGGAAUUUCCUUAUAUGGGUCCUGAGGGCACUUCUGCCGGAAGAGCGUGCGCUCCCGUAGAGCAGAGCACUGACUGAGAGCACAACAGACUUCACUGAUCAGAGCGAGAGAGUCGCGAAAUGUCACAAAAGAAGUGUGUUUUUGGUUGCGAGGGCAAGACAAC
rnacentral:lncRNA from 1 species